rnacentral:lncRNA from 1 species
AAUGCAGACGCUUCUUAUUGGACCAGUUCCUUCCGACCUAUCCUCAGAUGGCUCCACAGACCCUGGACAGCAAGGAAGCAGCCAACUCUCCUAAAAUUGGACAAACAUCUCCCAUACCCAUCCCUCUGGGUUCCCCAGAGACACGUCACCCCAGUGUCAGCAUGAAGCAGCCAGGUAUCACAACGACCCUAUUCCUGCUUCAUUAUCAUCUCUUUCUAAUUUUUUUCUUUUUUAACUAAACCAAAAUGGGGGAAUGUUGGUAUUCUGUCUAAAAUCCACCCCCACAGUUGCCUGGCAACAGCCAGGUAUGCUCCUCCCCAUAGUUACCUGGCAACAGUCAGGUAGGCAUGGCCCACUAUAAAGGGAGCUGCUUGCCCCCUCCUCCCUCUCUUACUCCUGCUUCUCUCCCUUGCCUCUUGCCCCUUUGCUCCCAUUUCCCUCCCCCCUCUCUCCAUGUGGUCAUGGCUGUCCUCUAUUUCUCCACUCUCUCCCUCUCUCUCUUUG